CCUACGGGCGGCAGCAGUGGGGAAUAUUGCACAAUGGGGGAAACCCUGAUGCAGCGACGCCGCGUGAGUGAAGAAGUAAUUCGUUAUGUAAAGCUCUAUCAGCAGGGAAGAAAAUGACGGUACCUGAGUAAGAAGCCCCGGCUAACUACGUGCCAGCAGCCGCGGUAAUACGUAGGGGGCAAGCGUUAUCCGGAUUUACUGGGUGGAAAGGGAGCGUAGACGGCAGUGCAAGUCUGGAGUGAAAGGCGGGGGCUCAACCCCCGGACUGCUCUUGAAACUGUACGGCUGGAGUGCAGGAGAGGUAAGUGGAAUUCCUAGUGUAGCGGUGAAAUGCGUAGAUAUUAGGAGGAACACCAGUGGCGAAGGCGGCUUACUGGACUGUAACUGACGUUGAGGCUCGAAAGCGUGGGGAGCAAACAGGAUUAGAUACCCCAGUAGUC
rnacentral:rRNA from 1 species